UAUGCUUAGUAAUGAUAUGUGGCUUUGUGAAGUUUCGGUAUGGUGAAGAUGCAGCUGAAGCAAAAGAUAAACAUCGUUCUCCCAGGUGAUCUAGAAAUGUUUCACGGUCUCUUUCUCUGCGUUCUCCAUAUGGUGACUAGGAAUACAGAACCAAGCAGAGGUCCCCAAGUCCAAGGGAGAAUGGUCAGUUUCCACAUGAUUAUAAAGAUAAUGUGCACAACAUGUUAAAGAGUCCAAGGCGUGUCAAUUGUAAACCUUCAAGGCCUUCUUAUGGUGUUUUGCACACGUGGUUACUACUGAAAACCGUGGCAACAAUGGAGGAGAUACAGAUGAAUAAUGAAGGAACUAAGGUAACUUUCAAGAGCCUAGACACACCCCAGUAGCCAGACACUGUAGCCAGACACUGUUAUAGUUCCAUCUGCAAUCACGCGAGCUAGGGUUCCUGCUUCUGUUGAAAGAAGCCCUCCAUUGUACAAAAAUGACGAGUGCAGAGCCAACAUACUGAGGCACAGAGUAAGGAAUCCCAAUAUGGAAGCUUAGGAGAAUGCCAACCAAAACCAUGAUUUCAGAAGCCAACAGAACUUUCCUGCAAUAAAUUUAAAUUGCAUGAAGCACUGUUAGGCCAAGACAUACAAGAAAGAUGGCCACGCUAUUGGUUGACCAUAUAAAGUAAUACGCAUUGAUGACACUUGCUUCAGCAAGCAAUAUUUCCAUCGCUUAUUUAAGCAUAAAAUAAACAAAUAGUUGCACCUUCACAGAUGGUGUGAGUAACAGGUAUGCUGAUACAAUUGAGGUGACAGGCUUGCUAGUUUUCUCACCAGAAUCUUCCUACCUUGUUUUCAAUAUAUCUUGUUUUCAAUAUCCAGAUUUGUCUAUGUAUAUAAAUUUACUUUGUAUUUCUCUGUUUAGUUUUGUUGUUUUGUUAUUUGUAUUUACAUUGUAUUUCUCUGUUUUUAAGUUCUGGUUUUGGAGUAUUUUUCUUGUUUCCUACCUUGUUUUUACAGAUGGAUCAAAUCAAAAAUCUGAUAGCUUUUCCCAUAUAGACAGUGAAUGAAGAGAAGGCAAGAUUGAGAUCGUAUAUAGGUUCAAGGCUGCCAAGGUGUGAGAGGAGAUGUAACUCAUGCAAGAGUUGCGAAGCCAUUCAUAGGCAAAUUUG